rnacentral:rRNA from 1 species
GACGAACGCUGGCGGCGUGCUUAACACAUGCAAGUCGAGCGGUAAGGCCCCUUCGGGGGUACACGAGCGGCGAACGGGUGAGUAACACGUGAGCAAUCUGCCCAUCACAUCGGGAUAACUCCGGGAAACCGAAGCUAAUACCGAAUACGACCACCUCCGGCAUCGGAUGGUGGUGGAAAGUUCCGGCGGUGAUGGAUGAGCUCGCGGCCUAUCAGCUUAUUGGUGGGGUAACGGCCCACCAAGGCUUCGACUGGUAGCCGGCCUGAGAGGGUGACCGGCCACACUGGGACUGAGACACGGCCCAGACUCCUACGGGAGGCAGCAGUGGGGAAUAUUGGACAAUGGGCGAAAGCCUGAUCCAGCAACGCCGCGUGAGGGAUGACGGCCUUCGGGUUGUAAACCUCUUUCAGCAGGGACGAAGCGCAAGUGACGGUACCUGCAGAAGAAGCACCGGCCAACUACGUG